AUUGAACGCUGGCGGCGUGCUUAACACAUGCAAGUCGAACGGAGUGGCGAACGGGUGAGUAACACGUGGGUGACCUGCCCUGCACUUCGGGAUAAGCCUGGGAAACUGGGUCUAAUACCGGCUAGUUUGGCAUGGGCCCGCGGCCUAUGAGCUUGUUGGUGGGGUAAUGGCCUACCAAGGCGGCGACGGGUAGCCGGCCUGAGAGGGUGGACGGCCACAUUGGGACUGAGGCACGGCCCAGACUCCUACGGUAGGCAGCGGUGGGGAGUAUUGCACAAUGGGCGGAAGCCUGAUGCAGCGACGCCGGGUGGGGGAUGACGGCCUACUGGUUGUAAACGCCUUUCACCAACGACGCGGUAGAUGGAGAAGAAGCACCGGCUAACUACGUGCCAGCAGCCGCGGUAAUAC
rnacentral:rRNA from 1 species